AAGGAUCAUUAAUGAGAACUUGCCCCUCGGGGUAGAUCUCCCACCCUCUGUGAACACGUACCAUGUUGCUUUGGCAGGCCCGUCCUCGGACCGCCGGCUCCGGCUGGCCAGCGCCUGCCAGAGGAUUAUCAAACCCUGUCUGUCAGUGUCGUCUGAGUAUAUAUAUAAUUGUCAAAACUUUCAACAACGGAUCUCUUGGUUCUG
rnacentral:misc_RNA from 1 species